UUUUUAAUGCACUGAUGGGAGCUGGGAGAAACAACAUUUCGUUUCCUUGUGUGUAUGCAAAUACUCAGUGAAAUGACAAUAAAGUGAAUCUUGAAUCUUGAAUAUUAAUUGCACUUUACUUUAAAGGUGCAGUGUUUUUUACAUAU